ACAUGCCUACAGUAUAGCUUUAAUGCACUGGAUUCCAUUAGAACUCCGUAGUUAAACACGCUUAGGAUAGAGUAGUACUGGGAUGGGUGACCGUUCGGGAAGUCCUAGUGUUUUACAUGCC
rfam:Picea glauca, whole genome shotgun sequence.